GGAGGUGUGACUCAGUGGUAAAGCACUUGCCAGCCAGGCACGAGGCCCUGGGUUUCAUCCCCAGUACCCCCG
rnacentral:tRNA from 1 species